GUCCGCGCGCGCGCACUCUGGAGGCCUCGCGCUUUCAUGUGAGUUGUUCGCAGGGGCUCCUGAGUCGCGGCCGCGCUGGCUGGAAGGCGGCGGCAGGAGGGCAGGGCUGGGUGCUCCUGCCUGUGCCGGGGCAGGUCAAAGGCUGGUUUUCGAUUCCUUCUCCAGCUGGUGCUCAGAUCCCUUCUGCAGGGCAAUGACUGCUCCUUUUUUGCCUGGGAGUGUGCAGGGGCGAGGAAAGGGGACAAGCAUUUUGAAGCAAGAAAAUAGCAGAGUAAGGUGUUUAAAGCAGAAUUCAGAUCUGGG